AUGAUUGCAUCGUAUAGAUCCCUAGCUCCAAAACGAUACAUGUACUCAGAGGUAAUGAAGAUAACAUCCUCUUGCAGCAAUGAGCUUGGGAAAGGUGGUUAUGGUGUGGUAUUCAAAGGAACGCUACUUGAUGGCCGUCUAGUAGCAGUGAAAGUCUUGCAUGAGUGCAAAGGAAACGGGGGCGAGUUUGUGAAUGAGGUUAUGAGCAUUGGCAGGACUUCUCAUGUCAAUGUUGUUAGCUUGUUUGGGUUUUGUUUGGAGGGAUCAAAACGAGCUCUUAUAUAUGAGUACAUGUCCAACAAUUCCUUAGAUAAGUUCAUUUACUCAGAGGACCCCAUGGAAAUUUUAGGAUGGGAUAAGCUCUAUGCAAUAGCAAUCGGGAUUGCCCGUGGUCCCAAAUACUUGCACCAUAGUUGUAAUACGCGCAUUGUGCAUUUCGACAUAAAGCCUCAAAAUAUCCUUCUAGACAAGGAUUUUAGCCCCCAAAUUGCUGAUUUUGGUCUAGCUAAAUUGUGUCAUACAAAAGAAAGCAAGGUUUCAAUGACUGGUGCUAGAGGAACAAUUAGAUUCAUCGCUCCAGAAGUUCACUCUCCAACCUUCGGAGUGGUUUCAACCAAGUCAGAUGUUUAUAGUUAUGGAAUGAUGCUGUUGGAGAUGGUCGGAGGAAGGAGAAACGUAAAAUGA
rnacentral:rRNA from 1 species